rnacentral:tRNA from 1 species
GGGGAUGUAGCUCAGUGGUAGAGUGCUUGCCUAGCUUGAGCAAGACCCUGGUUUCAACCCCCAGCAACACACA